rnacentral:lncRNA from 1 species
UUCGAAUAAGAAUAGAGGAAAUAUGGGUUACAAAAUUCCAAAACCCUAGAAAUGAAUUAAUAUGUACUUGAAGGAAUAUUAAGAAUAAGGUAUUACGAUACCUUUAAAUUCGAUGUGAACGGAAUAGUCUAAAAAAAUGUUAUAUAAGUACAUAUGGAAAUUUUAUUAUUGGAGAUAAGAUUUCACAUGAAGAGAUGCUAUGAGGUUAAACGAAGAUGAGUAUAUGUAUAGAAAUAUAUAUACUUAGUAAGGUGCUAUAUAUAUUUUAGCAAGAGGAAUGAUGAAUUAAGUUAAUGAUAUAAUGAU